rnacentral:rRNA from 1 species
GUGGGGAAUAUUGCACAAUGGGCGCAAGCCUGAUGCAGCAACGCCGCGUGAGGGAUGACGGCCUUCGGGUUGUAAACCUCUUUUAGUAGGGAAGAAGCGAAAGUGACGGUACCUGCAGAAAAAGCACCGGCUAACUACGUGCCAGCAGCCGCGGUAAUACGUAGGGUGCAAGCGUUGUCCGGAAUUAUUGGGCGUAAAGAGCUCGUAGGCGGCUUGUCGCGUCUGCUGUGAAAUCCCGGGGCUCAACCCCGGGCCUGCAGUGGGUACGGGCAGGCUAGAGUGCGGUAGGGGAGAUUGGAAUUCCUGGUGUAGCGGUGGAAUGCGCAGAUAUCAGGAGGAACACCGAUGGCGAAGGCAGAUCUCUGGGCCGCUACUGACGCUGAGGAGCGAAAGCAUGGGGAGCGAACAGGAUUAGAUACCCGGGUAGUCC